GGCGAAGAAGCAAAUCCAGACAAGAGAAUAUUCCACAUGACUAUGUCAGUAUAUUUAGUAGUAUGGAGAAGCUUUUGACAAUCCUCCAGAUGUUUAGAUUUGGCAUACAUAUUAAGCAAGGCUUUUAUCAUAAAUUGACAAGAAUGAUGACCUAACUUAAUAACACAAGUAUGUAAAGCUUUCCCCAACAUCCCAUCUGCUAUG
rnacentral:misc_RNA from 1 species